rnacentral:lncRNA from 1 species
AUGGAAAGCACCUAGCACAGUUUCUGGCUCACUGUGGAUAGACUGUAGGUCAAAGUGAGUUAAUAAUAAAUAGCCAGCAACGUUGGGAAACCUUACAUUCAUUAACCUGCUCCUCACCACAGCUCGGUGAAGUGGAGCAUGGAUCUAAUUUCGGAAAUGAAGAAAUUGAUGCUCGGUCAGUGAAGCUGGGUGGAGACAGCAGCACACACUGGCAGUGAGGACGUGAGGUCCCGUCCAGUGCCUGAGUGAGGCAGAAUCAACACGCAGAACUAGCCACGUGAUGCAGACAGACCACCCUCAUCGGGCCAUUGCAUAGCCCUGGAGUGCCACGUGAGAAUCUUCAAAAGGCUUCUCCUUCUAAGGACUCUCGAUUCUCAGUGUUGGGCCAUGACUAGGACAAUAACAGAGCCGUGAAGUCUGCUGUGAGCGUGGCCCCUACCGUGACAGCCCGAGUAAAGCACAGUGACAUCACAGAGGAGCCCCUCGGUGUCGACUGCUGGAGGACUGCGGACACCCCGAGCUUCUCUGGCAAGGAAACCAGCGCCGAGCAGCUUCAGGAGAAAGGAGGAAUCGUUGAUAAAGACCUUCGUCACUACCUCAACUUACGAUUCCAGAAGGGAUCUGUUGACCACGAACUUCAGCAAAUCAUUCGAGACAACCUCUACCUCCGCACUGUGCCAUGAACUGCUCAGAUGCCAUCAUCAUUCCCCACUGAUCAUACCCUACGUACUUAAGGAGAAAAAACAAGAAUUGGAAUGGCUGCCUUGCUCAGGGUCUCUCAUUAUCACAGAAACGCAGUGAGGAGGAUUUCAAG